rnacentral:rRNA from 1 species
GACGAACGCUGGCGGCGUGCUUAACACAUGCAAGUCGAGCGGUAAGGCCCUUUCGGGGUACACGAGCGGCGAACGGGUGAGUAACACGUGGGUGACCUGCCCUCAGCUCUGGGAUAAGCCUGGGAAACUGGGUCUAAUACCGGAUAUGACCCCAUGACGCAUGUUGUGGGGUGGAAAGCCUUGUGCGGCUGAGGAUGGGCCCGCGGCCUAUCAGCUUGUUGGUGGGGUGAUGGCCUACCAAGGCGACGACGGUAGCCGCCUGAGAGGGCGACCGGCCACACUGGGACUGAGACACGGCCCAGACUCCUACGGGAGGCAGCAGUGGGGAAUCUUGCGCAAUGGGCAAAGCCUGACGCAGCGACGCCGCGUGA